rnacentral:rRNA from 1 species
GACGAACGCUGGCGGCGUGCUUAACACAUGCAAGUCGAACGGAAAGGCCCUGCUUUUGUGGGGUGCUCGAGUGGCGAACGGGUGAGUAACACGUGAGUAACCUGCCCUUGACUUUGGGAUAACUUCAGGAAACUGGGGCUAAUACCGGAUAGGAGCUCCUGCUGCAUGGUGGGGGUUGGAAAGUUUCGGCGGUUGGGGAUGGACUCGCCGCUUAUCAGCUUGUUGGUGGGGUAGUGGCUUACCAAGGCUUUGACGGGUAGCCGGCCUGAGAGGGUGACCGGCCACAUUGGGACUGAGAUACGGCCCAGACUCCUACGGGAGGCAGCAGUGGGGAAUAGUGCACAAUGGGCGGAAGCCUGAUGCAGCAACGCCGCGUGCGGGAUGACGGCCUUCGGGUUGUAAACCGCUUUCGCCUGUGACGAAGCGUGAGUGACGGUAAUGGGUAAAGAAGCACCGGCUAACUACGUG